AAGGAUCAAUAUCGAAUAAACUUGAACAGGCUGUUGCUGGCUUCCUCCCAACUGGGGGGUGGUGUGUGCACGCUUGUCAUCUUUAUCUUCUCCAACUGUGCACCUUUUGUAGACCUGGAGGUUUUUUGAUUUGCUCGAUUGAGGAUUUGCUGUGCUUUGAAAAAAAAGUCGGCUUGCCUUGCAUUUCCAGGUCUAUGCUAUUUUUCACAACCUCUUGUUCAGAAUGUUGAAAUUGGGUAUCAUCUUGUACCUAUAUAAAGUUGAAUAUACAACUUUCAGCAACGGAUCUCUUGGCUCUC
rnacentral:misc_RNA from 1 species